rnacentral:rRNA from 1 species
UUUAAAUUGAGAGUUUGAUCCUGGCUCAGGACGAACGCUGGCGGCGUGCCUAACACAUGCAAGUCGAGCGAUGAAGCUUCCUUCGGGAAGUGGAUUAGCGGCGGACGGGUGAGUAACACGUGGGUAACCUGCCUCAAAGAGUGGGAUAGCCUCCCGAAAGGGAGAUUAAUACCGCAUAACAUUAUUUUAUGGCAUCAUAAAAUAAUCAAAGGAGCAAUCCGCUUUGAGAUGGACCCGCGGCGCAUUAGCUAGUUGGUGAGGUAACAACC